rnacentral:lncRNA from 1 species
GUUGGUCUCAGCAGACCUAAUUGAUUGUAAAUCAGGCCCAAUUCAAGCCCAAUUCAACUGACAGAAGGUCGAAUUGACCUUGGGCUAAUCCUGACUCAGGCCCAAAUGAGCCACAUUGACCAAAUCAGAGGAUCCAAUUGGCUAGAAAAGGUUGGACCCAAUUAUAAACGAGGCCCAAUCCUUUAAUUAAAAACCCAAUCAACCCAUGUGGACCCAAUUUGGUUUUAAAUCGAACCCCAAAGGCUUCAAAUUGGAUUUGGACUAAAUCCUUGGAUGGGAUCCAAGCAAGUAAGUUCAUAGUAUGAUGAACUAAGAAAUUUCAUAAUAAAUAAAUGGGGAAUAAUGUAAACCCUAUGAUGUUGUUUUAGGUGAUUAAGGAUUUGUCACCUGGAUUUGAGCAAUUUGGAAAGCGAAUUGAAGUAAGUAAUCUGUCUUAAUCUUAUCGUAGAUCUUGUAUUACGUUUUAUAAGAUGAACCAGUGUUUUUCAUACAAUUUGAAUUGUAUACAUGAUUUGUGAAGAAAGUAAGUAACCUGUUCUAAUCCUGUUAUGGAUCAUGUCAUGUU